rnacentral:rRNA from 1 species
UACGUAGGGGGCAAGCGUUGUCCGGAUUUAUUGGGCGUAAAGGGCGUGUAGGCGGCUGGAUAAGUGGGAUGUUAAAUCCCCCGGCUCAACCGGGGACCUGCAUCUCAUACUGUUCAGCUCGAGCACAUCAGAGGAGACUGGAAUUUACGGUGUAGCAGUGAAAUGCGUAGAUAUCGUAAGGAAGACCAGUGGCGAAGGCGAGUCUCUGGACAGCAACUGACGCUGAGGCACGAAGGCCAGGGGAGCAAACGGG